rfam:Hordeum vulgare subsp. vulgare, WGS project CAJW01000000 data, contig: morex_contig_159543
AAUAUAUUUCCUCCGUCGGAAAAUACUUGUCGGAGGAAUCGAUGUAUCUAGAUGUAUUUUACUUGUAGAUACAUUCAUUUUUAUCAAUUUUUGCGUCAGGUAAUUUCGGACGAAGGGAGUAUUAA